rnacentral:rRNA from 1 species
UGCGCAGGCGGUUAUGCAAGACAGAUGUGAAAUCCCCGGGCUCAACCUGGGAACUGCAUUUGUGACUGCAUGGCUAGAGUACGGUAGAGGGGGAUGGAAUUCCGCGUGUAGCAGUGAAAUGCGUAGAUAUGCGGAGGAACACCGAUGGCGAAGGCAAUCCCCUGGACCUGUACUGACGCUCAUGCACGAAAGCGUGGGGAGCAAACAGGAUUAGAUACCCUGGUAGUCCACGCCCUAAACGAUGUCAACUGGUUGUUGGGAGGGUUUCUUCUCAGUAACGAAGCUAACGCGUGAAGUUGACCGCCUGGGGAGUACGGCCGCAAGGUUGAA